rnacentral:sRNA from 1 species
CAUCCUCAGAACAGACAUCCACGCAGCGACCGCAGGUCAUGCAGUCGCGGUGAGUGA